ACCCUUUAAUGUUUGAUGUUCUAACGUUGCCCCGUAAUCCGGGGUGCGGACAGUGUCUGGUGGGUAGUUUGACUGGGGCGGUCUCCUCCCAAAGAGUAACGGAGGAGCACGAAGGUUGGCUAAGCAUGGUCGGACAUCAUGCGGUUAGUGCAAAGGCAUAAGCCAGCUUGACUGCGAGAGUGACGGCUCGAGCAGGUACGAAAGUAGGUCUUAGUGAUCCGGUGGUUCUGAAUGGAAGGGCCAUCGCUCAACGGAUAAAAGGUACUCCGGGGAUAACAGGCUGAUACCGCCCAAGAGUUCAUAUCGACGGCGGUGUUUGGCACCUCGAUGUCGGCUCAUCACAUCCUGGGGCUGAAGUAGGUCCCAAGGGUAUGGCUGUUCGCCAUUUAAAGUGGUACGCGAGCUGGGUUUAGAACGUCGUGAGACAGUUCGGUCCCUAUCUGCCGUGGGCGUUGGAAGAUUGAAAGGGGCUGCUCCUAGUACGAGAGGACCGGAGUGGACGCACCACUGGUGUUCGGGUUGUCAUGCCAAUGGCAUUGCCCGGUAGCUAAGUGCGGAAGAGAUAACCGCUGAAAGCAUCUAAGCGGGAAACUUGCCUUGAGAUGAGUCUUCCCUGACUCUUUAAGGGUCCUAAAGGAACGUUUAAG
rnacentral:rRNA from 1 species